GGAAACCGCCAUAUUUUUGAGUUUAGUUUCGGCCGUUUUAGUAAAUCGACCAUAACUUCUUAACCGUUGCGAAUCUCGUGCAUCCAAGCCCAUCAUCGUGUUCCUCUCGUCGGGACGAAGCCGUAGACACCAAGCACGCCUAAAACGGAGCCCGGACGAAGCCGUACGUGCCUCCAGAAAACCGCCAGACGAAGCCGGAAAUCGUCGCCACCGCAGCUCCGCCGCCGGACCACCGUCCGCCGCCGCAGCUCCGCCGUCGCCGCCGGCCAACUUUCCGAUAUGGAGUCUAUUUGAGCAGCUGGAGUUCAUAGACAACACUUUUCUAUUGCUAAGGCGAGG